rnacentral:rRNA from 1 species
AUUGAACGCUGGCGGCAGGCCUAACACAUGCAAGUCGAACGAGUGGCGGACGGGUGAGUAAUGUCUGGGAAACUGCCUGAUGGAGGGGGAUAACUACUGGAAACGGUAGCUAAUACCGCAUACCAUCAGAUGUGCCCAGAUGGGAUUAGCUAGUUGGUGGGGUAACGGCUCACCAGGGCGCCGAUCCCUAGCUUGUCUGAGAGGAUGACAAGCCCAAUUGGAACGGAGACACGGUCCAGACGCCGACGGGAGGCAGCAGUGGGGAAUAUUGCACAAUGGGCGCAAGCCUGAUGCAGCCAUGCCGCGUGUAUGAAGAAGGCUUUCGGGUUGUAAAGUACUUUCAGCGGGGAGGCGUUACCCGCAGAAGAAGCACCGGCUAACUCCGUGCCAGCCGCCGCGGUAAUAC